AUGACUUUGAGCUCCAUCCUCAUCUGGACUCUCCUCUGCUGCUGCUUGACAGAGUCCAGAGGCCAGGUCACAGUGACUCAGCCUGGAGCAGUGAGCGCUGCUCUGGGAGCCUCCGUCACCAUCACAUGUAAAACCAGCCAGAACGUUUAUGUUGGUACUGGCUUUGAUGAUGAUUUUAAUACUGUUAAUGUAGACCUUCUAUCUUGGUACCAACAGAAAGAUGGAGAAACUCCUAAACUCCUCAUUUACUGGGCUAAUACUCGAGAAUCAGGGAUUUCAGAUCGUUUUACAGGUAGUGGAUCAGGGAGUGACUUCACUCUGACCAUCAGUGGAGUCCAGGCUGAAGAUGCAGCAGUUUACUACUGUCAGAGUCAACAUGAAAUCAACAGUCAAAUCCUCCUCCUCCAUCCACCUCACUGUGCCCUCCGCCCGCCUCAGCAUCAUGGUGAGCAGAGCCUUCAGCCGCUCUGCUCCCAAACUCUGGAACUCACUCCCUCCGGACAUCCGUAUCAUCGACUCUCUUCCUCUGUUCAAAUCUAG